UACGGAGGUUGCAAGCGUAAUUCGGAAUCACUGGGCGUAAAGGGCGCGUAGGCUGCCUCUUAAGUCAGGCGUGAAAGCCCGGGGCUAAACUCCGGAAGUGCGUGUGAAACUAAGAAGCUUGAGUACGGGAGAGGGAAGUGGAAUUCCUGGUGUAGAGGUGAAAUUCGUAGAUAUCAGGAGGAACACCGGUGGCGAAGGCGACUUCCUGGACCGAUACUGACGCUGAGGCGCGAAAGCGUGGGGAGCAAACAGG
rnacentral:rRNA from 1 species